GACGAACGCUGGCGGCGUGCUUAACACAUGCAAGUCGAACGGUGAAGCGCCUUCCUUUUUGGUGGGUGUGGAUGAGUGGCGAACGGGUGAGUAACACGUGAGUAACCUGCCCCCUUCUUCUGGAUAACCGCAUGAAAGUGUGGCUAAUACGGGAUAUUCUGGGUCUGUCGCAUGAUGGGUCUGGGAAAGAUAUUGUUUCGGUGGGGGAUGGGCUCGCGGCCUAUCAGCUUGUUGGUGGGGUGAUGGCCUACCAAGGCGGUGACGGGUAGCCGGCCUGGGAGGGUGGACGGUCACACUGGGACUGAGACACGGCGCAGACUCCUACGGGAGGCAGCAGUGGGGAAUAUUGCACAAUGGGCGCAAGCCUGAUGCAGCGACGCCGCGGGAGGGAUGGAGGCCUUCGGGUUGUGAACCUCUUUCGCCAGUGAAGCAGGCCUGCCUCGUUUGUGGGUGGGUUGACGGUAGCUGGAUAAGAAGCGCCGGCUAACUACGUG
rnacentral:rRNA from 1 species